ensembl:lncRNA
CGUGGUAAUGAUGUGUAAUCAACAGUGACCCCUUUUUUUAGGCGGUUGGUUCAAUGAACACAGAACUUGGGACUGGUGUUUCAACUCUGUGUCUGGAAAAAAAGGGUUUUGCUGCCUAAACCAUUAACAUUAGUUUGUAACCUGAUAUCCACUUGAAAGAGUCUAUCCAAGCCAAGAGGAAAACAAUGGAUUGAAUCUCAUGACUUUCUAAAAAACACUUAUACUUAUGGCUGGCUCAGGUUUAUAGUCAGGGCUGGCUCAGGUUUGUAGUUAGGGCUGGCUCAGGUUUAUAGUCAGGGCUGGCUCAGGUUUAUAGUCAGGGCUGGCUCAGGUUUGUAGUUAGGGCUGGCCAGUCUGGACCAGCCCUGAGAUACGCUGCUCUAAGCUUGGACUGAGCUCCUCUCUCCUCCUUAUACCUGCUUAAUAUUUGCUCUAUUGACUUUGCUUCUUCUCUGCAGUCUCUGUGCUUUCUCUGUCCAGAGGUUUCUGUGGAUGGUGGUUAUAUGUGGACAGCGGUUGCUCCUGACGUGGACAUCCACUGCGACUCUCAUUAUCAGCAGAUGCAUCACUAUUCAUGACACCAUUACUGGACAUGGACAUGUGGGACGAGUGAUUCAGGAUUAUAACUGUAGUUUUUUUGUCAAUUUGGUUUGAUUUCUCAGGGCAGAUUUGCUUUCCUCUCUGUCUGAUGCUGAGAUCUGGUUCCAACAGUAUUGUCGGCCUCAGCGCCUCACAUCUCAAACACACCUGUACCUGUCUGGUGCUUACCUGUGGUGAGCCUCUGCUUGAUGCGAUGCCAGGUAGGGUAUUUCACCCUCAUUAAUUACUCAACCGCUCUAAACCGCUCUCAUGACGAUUGAGGUCGGCCUGAUUCGCUGAGCUGCGUGUGUGAACUGCACAGCUGGUACCAUCACGCCGCGUCUCGCCCUCUUUGUUAUCGCACAUCUCUCAGCCGCUGCGCUAGCAGAGGCUUCAGGAAAGUGACAGUUCUUUCAUCAGCCCCCCUGAGAGGAAGCGGGAGGAGGGCCUGUGCUUCACGUCUAUCUGAGUUGGAUGUAAUACUCCUCCCUUUGACUGGUGGGGACAGCUCGGUAGUUUUGCUGCUUAGCAAGUCAUCAGAGUGUUUGAUGGUAUAAUUAACUCCAUUGCUGGAAGACAGAGGGGAAGUUUUGGAUUGGACUCAAACACAACACAAACUUUUAACUUUUUAAUGGGGAAUUUUUCAACAUGUGUCUAAUUAUUAGGAACAACUUUAACGAUUACUUUGCAGUCUGUUCAAUGGUUGACGUCUGCAUCGAUAAUGGACCAGUUUGUAAAAAAAUGAUCACUGUUACUCACUUAGAAACAAAAACAUUGGGAAAUAAGGUUGAAUAAUUGCUGAAAUUACGUUUUGACGAUUCUUUCCUUUAAUGUGUGGAGGCAAGUCACGGGGAUUGGAAGAAGAAAACCUUGCAGCUUUUUCACCUGCAAGGUUCCUUCUCUCAGCACGUUCAAUAAAGUCUUCGUUGUUGGCUCAAAGUGCUGCUAUGUGCAGGUGAUGAUAGAAGAGAUAAAACAUUGGCCCUGUGAUUUAGACGAUUCAUGUCAUUAAGGCCACCAGGUGCAGAUGUGAACUGUGACCUUGAUCUCCCUUAAAAGUCCUCUACUAACGUCAACUGUCAUCUCUCGCCGCAAACAACAGCAAUAUUUGCAUUGAGGUAGAUGUUUGCAGUGGAUCAGGGGUACGACACUCGCUUUUGCCCCUGGCCAUUUAAUGAAAACAUCCAGUGCCACUUUGGUCUAUUGUGAUGCUUAUUUCAAGCACUAUGGCACUUUAUUUGCAUUCAAAGGACACGUUAUUUUUAGUAGUUUGGUAACAAAUAUUUUAUUUACUGCCUUUGCUUGACUUGGUGGAUGCAAUGGAAGUAGUUUUACAGGCUCUUGUGCCAUGUAGAUAAUAACGGACUAAAGAAAUUAGAAAGCACAAGUGAUUUAGUGUCUUUCUUUGCGUGCUGAAAGAUAAAUUCGUUUUCUUUCUCACUAUGCAG